GGUUUCUUAGUGUAGUGGUCAACACAUUAAAUUGAUUCAAUUCUUUGAAAGACGUCAGUUCAAAUCUGGCAGAAACCG